rnacentral:lncRNA from 1 species
GAGAAAUUCAUAGAAGACUGCAAUUUUAGCUUUAGAACCGAAGUGCGUUUAGAUGUGUAUAAUAACAGGAUGCAGAGAGUUAAAUAUUUUGUGGAAACUUCGUAAAGAUUGAGAUCCAGAUAUCAACCAUUUUAGUAGGAAGAGUUUUUUUUUUUUUUUUCCUGGAACAUAUGGAACAAGUGAGUUUUUGUCGAGUUUGAGCGCUUAACACUUAGAUCAAAGAUCAAAGCCCCUUCGUUCCCCCGCUUGUUUAAUGCUUUUGCAAUAUGGGGGUUUGUUACAAAUGCUACCGUGCAAUGAUUUCAAUAUGCUUGUUAGUUUCUACUACAUCCAUAGAGAACGAAAUCUUGUUGUAAUGGGUUAGCAACGACAGAAAGCCAAUAACAAAAAGCAAAAGCAAAUGUGGGGAUCGGGAGAUCGAUUUGCUGUUGGGUUUUUCCUGAAUCUCUUGGGUGUUAGGUUCCUAGUUUUUUAUGGUUUCGUUCACGCAGAUUCUAUGAUUGUUUCAUUCAUGUACUGACUUUCGUCCUAAUUUCAUUUCACAGGUGAAAAAGGAGAUUGUUGAGGACCUAGCUUGGAGCAGAAUUUGCUGGGGAAUAUGAGAAUUACGGUUUUAAGGAGAGGUUAAUCUACCCACAACCAACCAAACCCCUAAUACUCCAACUUUAGAGAGCAAAAUUUUAAUACCCCCAUUAAGAGAAGGGGGGGAUUCUUAUGCGUUUGCCAAAGCUGUAAUGGUAUAACAGUAGCCUUUAGCAGUUAAAAGUUUUUUGUCAUUUCGUUUUGUGAUUUGUACAUAUGAAUGUGUGAAAUACAAUCAAAUUCUACCUCUUUGCAAGAAUCCCAUGAAAACAAAAGCUACAGCAAUUUAGGGGAAAAAGGAAGUGACGGGAUUGAAAAGAAGCUCAGCGACAAAUUAUGCACUCACCUUUCUUUUCAAACUUCUACUAUAUUUGUAGAAGGGGUAAUGUUUUGUUCUCUAGAUAUUGGUUAAAACUUAAAAGAUUAUUUAAUUACUAGUUUAAGACCUUAUUUAAUAUUUAAUAAUUUUUUGAACUUAAAAUUUUAUUAAUAUCAUCUUAAUUAGUAUCAUUGGACAUGGAAAAUAUUUCCUUAGGGCACGUUUGGUUCGCUGUAUUGGAUUAGAGGCGUAUUGGAUUAGAGGUGUAUUGGAUUAGAGGUGUAAUAGCUAAUCCACUGUUUGGUUGAAUGUAAUGGAAUAGAGGCGUAAUAGUAAUCUUGUGUUUGGUUGAAUGGAAUAGAGGUGUAAUAGCAUAAUAGAAAAAACUAAAAUAACUAGA